UUCCUGCCCCAUUCCCGGCCACGGUGUCACGCCUAUUGUCUCCGGUUCGGGCAA
rnacentral:sRNA from 1 species